GAUGAACGCUGGCGGCGUGCUUAACACAUGCAAGUCGAACGGAAAGGCCCAAGCUUGCUUGGGUACUCGAGUGGCGAACGGGUGAGUAACACGUGGGUGAUCUGCCCUUCACUUCGGGAUAAGCCUGGGAAACUGGGUCUAAUACCGGAUAGGACCACAUGCUGCAUGGUGCGGGGGAGAGUUUUUCGGUGGGGGAUGAACUCGCGGCCUAUCAGCUUGUUGGUGGGGUAGUGGCCUACCAAGGCGUCGACGGGUAGCCGGCCUGAGAGGGUGUCCGGCCACAUUGGGACUGAGAUACGGCCCAGACUCCUACGGGAGGCAGCAGUGGGGAAUAUUGCACAAUGGGCGGAAGCCUGAUGCAGCGACGCCGCGUGCGGGAUGACGGCCUUCGGGUUGUAAACCGCUUUCGCCAGGGACGAAGCGUGAGUGACGGUAACUGGUAAAGAAGCACCGGCUAACUACGUG
rnacentral:rRNA from 1 species